rnacentral:rRNA from 1 species
CCCUUAGAUGUCCUGGGCUGCACGCGCGCUACACUGACGAAGGCAACGAGCUACUCUUCACCGAAAGGUGUGGGUAAUCUUUUGAAACUUCGUCGUGCUGGGGAUAGAUCCUUGCAAUUUUUGAUCUUAAACGAGGAAUUCCUAGUAAGCGCAAGUCAUCAACUUGCGUUGAUUACGUCCCUGCCCUUUGUACACACCGCCCGUCGCUACUACCGAUUGAAUGGUUUAGUGAGGCCUUCGGAUCCGCGAUUUUAUUGUGGAGAAGUUGGACAAACUCAGUCAUUUAGAGGAAGUAAAAGUCGUAACA